GAGAGCAUGAUGCAGGAUCUGAUGGCCAGAGAGCCAUCUUGGGAGCUGCUCAUCGCUGGGAGAAGAGACCUGUGCCUGCAUUUAUCUCAGACUGCCCAGAGCGACUGGGCAAAGAUGGCAUCUGGAGAGUAGGAGGGGCAGAAGACAGAGCAGAGAGGACCAAGUACUUGGAAUCAGAGCAGCACCUGGAAAACCUGCCUGCCCUGGUGCUCACUGGAGGCAAAAUCAUUCCACAGAUGGAGAGUCAGAAACCAGGAGCUAAAAAGUCCCUGCAGCCCUAGGGAAAGAAGGAGCCAGGGAUAGGCAGGGAAAAGGCUACCACCCUUCCCGACUCCAGGCGUCCAUCAUGAGACUGCAUGUGCCACACAUCUUGCCUCAGGAGCCAUUUUAAAUGCUCCAUCAUUCCCAACGACGUGAUGAACGCUGCAAGUUAGA